UUGGCCAAGUCCCGCAAAACGUAACACUUCGAGACAUGUCUCGCUCGCGACCUGCCAUUCCUCCGCGCGAGACGCAAGCCCCAGCCAGCAGCGAUGCAGGUGUUGCUGAUAAGGGGAAGAACAUGGUUAUGUGACUGUUGUAGAUUGUGUGCUAGUCGUAUAGAUUGAAUAUAAUGCAUGAUUAUGUGAGUGCAGAUUGUGUAUGAAUUGUAGCUGUACCAUGUCUCAUCUGGAAUUGAUUGCUUUCAUUACCGAAGAAAAUAGAAACGAAAGAGAAAAGGGAUUAUUAUGACACCAAUGAGUCCCUUUGUCUUGGCGUAAUUGUUGUUGUUGUUAGAAAUUUAUUAUUGUUUCUAUUGAUGUGUGAAUAUUAUUUGGUCUCAUCGUGAAAUUCAAGAUUAUUUAUUCA